rnacentral:rRNA from 1 species
CCUAGUGUGAAUUGCAGAAUUCCGCGAAUCAUCGAGUCUUUGAACGCAAGUUGCGCCCGAGGCUUGUCCCGAGGGCAUGCCUGCCUGAGCGUC